UACGUAGGGGGCAAGCGUUGUCCGGAAUUAUUGGGCGUAAAGCGCGCGCAGGCGGUCCUUUAAGUCUGAUGUGAAAGCCCACGGCUUAACCGUGGAGGGUCAUUGGAAACUGGAGGACUUGAGUACAGAAGAGGAGAGUGGAAUUCCACGUGGAGCGGUGAAAUGCGUAGAUAUGUGGAGGAACACCAGUGGCGAAGGCGACUCUCUGGUCUGUAACUGACGCUGAGGCGCGAAAGCGUGGGUAGCGAACAGG
rnacentral:rRNA from 1 species